AGAGUUUGAUCCUGGCUCAGAACGAACGCUGGCGGCAGGCCUAACACAUGCAAGUCGAGCGCGCCUUCGGGCGAGCGGCGGACGGGUUAGUAACGCGUGGGAACGUGCCCAGAUCUACGGAAUAGCCACUGGAAACGGUGAGUAAUACCGUAUACGCCCUUCGGGGGAAAGAUUUAUCGGAUUUGGAUCGGCCCGCGUUAGAUUAGGUAGUUGGUGGGGUAAUGGCCUACCAAGCCUACGAUCUAUAGCUGGUUUUAGAGGAUGAUCAGCAACACUGGGACUGAGACACGGCCCAGACUCCUACGGGAGGCAGCAGUGGGGAAUCUUGGACAAUGGGGGCAACCCUGAUCCAGCCAUGCCGCGUGAGUGAAGAAGGCCCUAGGGUCGUAAAACUCUUUCGCCUGUGAUGAUAAUGACAGUAGCAGGUAAAGAAACCCCGGCUAACUCCGUGCCAGCAGCCGCGGUAAUACGGAGGGGGUUAGCGUUGUUCGGAAUUACUGGGCGUAAAGCGCGCGUAGGCGGAUUAGAAAGUUGGGGGUGAAAUCCCGGGGCUCAACCUCGGAACUGCCUCCAAAACUGCUAGUCUAGAGUUCGAGAGAGGUGAGUGGAAUUCCGAGUGUAGAGGUGAAAUUCGUAGAUAUUCGGAGGAACACCAGUGGCGAAGGCGGCUCACUGGCUCGAUACUGACGCUGAGGUGCGAAAGUGUGGGGAGCAAACAGGAUUAGAUACCCUGGUAGUCCACACCGUAAACGAUGAAUGCCAGUCGUCGGGUAGUAUACUAUUCGGUGACACACCUAACGGAUUAAGCAUUCCGCCUGGGGAGUACGGUCGCAAGAUUAAAACUCAAAGGAAUUGACGG
rnacentral:rRNA from 1 species